rnacentral:rRNA from 1 species
CAUGCAAGUCGAGCGGAUGAGAGGAGCUUGCUCCUCGAUUCAGCGGCGGACGGGUGAGUAAUGCCUAGGAAUCUGCCUAGUAGUGGGGGACAACGUUUCGAAAGGAACGCUAAUACCGCAUACGUCCUACGGGAGAAAGUGGGGGAUCUUCGGACCUCACGCUAUUAGAUGAGCCUAGGUCGGAUUAGCUAGUUGGUAGGGUAAAGGCCUACCAAGGCGACGAUCCGUAACUGGUCUGAGAGGAUGAUCAGUCACACUGGAACUGAGACACGGUCCAGACUCCUACGGGAGGCAGCAGUGGGGAAUAUUGGACAAUGGGCGAAAGCCUGAUCCAGCCAUGCCGCGUGUGUGAAGAAGGCCUUCGGGUCGUAAAGCACUUUAAGUUGGGAGGAAGGGCUCAUAGCGAAUACCUGUGAGUUUUGACGUUACCAACAGAAUAAGCACCGGCUAACUUCGUGCCAGCAGCCGCGGUAAUACGAAGGGUGCAAGCGUUAAUCGGAAUUACUGGGCGUAAAGCGCGCGUAGGUGGCUUGAUAAGUUGGAUGUGAAAUCCCCGGGCUCAACCUGGGAACUGCAUCCAAAACUGUCUGGCUAGAGUGCGGUAGAGGGUAGUGGAAUUUCCAGUGUAGCGGUGAAAUGCGUAGAUAUUGGAAGGAACACCAGUGGCGAAGGCGACUACCUGGACUGACACUGACACUGAGGUGCGAAAGCGUGGGGGAGCAAAACAGGAUUAGAUACCCUUGGGUAGUC